rnacentral:misc_RNA from 1 species
CGCCGAAAAGAAGAGAAUCGAUGCGCCACCCGCACACGCACACGAAAGGGGGGAAUAGCAAAGGACAAAACAAAAAGCGAUAUUAGCCCAGGCAAGCGCACCGGCACAACCUCACAAGCGUAAGCCGGCACACCAACACACACACACAUACAGCACCCCCUCAUACCCGGCUGGUUCGCUCCUCCUACAAGGGGAGACUACGACGAAUAACAAAACUGAGGACAGUCGCAUCGGGAGGAGGGGAAGAGGCACUCACAGUAACCGAUAAGGAAACUUUCAGGGACGUAAGCGGGUAUCUGCCCCCUCCCCUCCCCUGCUAGCCUCUGCUCCCGCUCCGCCACGCACGCGGGCGAGGGCUUGAACUUGUGUGGAUUCGUGUGCGCAGAUCAUCUAGCCUCCACCCCACUUCUCCUCCCCCAUAGACUCCGCAUUCUACGCGAGCAAAGAGAGGCAGAAGAAGAAUGGGCUGUAGCACCUCCACGCAUGCCUCGCCGGAGGCAGAUGAGGACGCGCCGCUCAAAAGGAGCGUCUACUCGGCGAGCCGAACCAGCGACCAGGUCGUCUCAGGCCGCCAGAAUAGCAACAAGGACCAGACGAAUGACGCAUGUACCGCGGUCAGCGAGAAUCCCAGUCGCACCAGGAGCAGCAGCGACACGGAGGGGCGGGCGCACGGCAGAGGUAUCGGCGCCAUCCACUACCCAAACCAGCUCGGAAAAGACGAGUGCGAUGGCGGUGAGGAUGAAGUGGUGGUCAUUCCCCCGUCAGCAGACAAGAGCACGCGCACUCGCUUCACCUUUCCGCAGCGCACUCUGUUGAACGUUGGUAGCCACACGCAGGCCGGCGACUCCGGUGGAAGAAAGCGUAACUCUAUCACGGCUAGCCCCUCCUCCUUCACGGCUAUGCAGCGGCGACUGAGCGAUGGCAGCCAUGGCCACUCGAGCUUCACAACGAUGUCUCCCGCUCCUCCUGAUGCCAAGGAGACACCGCUCCAGCUUACGCAGACGCGGGCGCUCCCGACAGCCGCUACCAUCCCUACCGCCUGUCUCUCCAUCUCCCCGCCGCAGCGUCUGAGUAUUCCAGCUAACAGCUUCGCCGGUUCCAGCGCAUCCGCCUCAGGCGCUGUCGCGCUGCCGUCGCAGGAGCAGCACCAAAUCGAGACGCCCCACGUGAACGAUGGAGGCUUCAGCAUCGAGUGGGAUGAGGAGGACAACACGCCAAGGGGCCGCGGCAUUCCGGACUCGACGACAAUGGAGUCCGGACCGUGCAGUGUUACUCGCGGAAUGAUGGCGCCGUCAGGCAGCUUUGGCAUCGGUGUUGGAGGCGGGUGGCGCAGCAAGUCGCCGAAAUGGAUCGACCUCUCCCGAAAACGUUCGCAGAGCACGGUCAGUCUCCUGAGUCUGGCCGACACCCCCAACAACCCGCACGUCCUCUCCAGUGGCAGCGACUUUGGCCGAGAUAUCCUAGGGGGAUCGCAUGUAUUUGGCGGCCUCGCCACCGGCGGGGGCAGCAGUCGGCCACAGAGCGGCUACGCCAUGGGUAGGGACAUGUGUGUGGAGCGAUUCGAUCAGCAGCGGCACAGCAACGGGCUUGCCGUCUUUUGCAAUCAGCCUCGCGAGUGCGCGCUCUGCCGGAACGCCACCGCCGCUUUCGCCUGUGAAGUAUGCGACGACUUUUUCCUCUGCGAGAACUGCCGCUUCGACCUCGAGGCGGUGUGCGCCGUGCACGACCCGACACACGCGAUUCUGUACAUGCAGGACAACCACUACAACUCCAGCCGCACCUUCGGAGGCGACUCCAUCUUCUCCCUGUCCGGCGAUGGCGGCGUGAGCAGCCUAUUCUACAACCCCUGCUUCAAUUGUAAGCGCGUCAUCGAUGAUGUCGAGCCGGUGUACCGCUGUGACCAGUGCGACUACAUUGUAUGCCAGGAGUGCUUUAUUCAGCAUGAGGAGCCAGAGAAUGCCAUGGAGCGGGCAUCAUCCCUGUCAGCAGCGAUGGCUGCGACGAGGGAGGAACAGGCUAGCUGCAAGCCAUUACCGAUCGAGUCCGCCGCUCUCGUGCUAGCAUCCGGCCCGAUGCCGCCACACGAGCACGAGCUGAAGCGCUUCCAACGCAAGUCGCGCUCUAACUCGGUGCACGAGGGGGCUGUUGUCACCAAGACGCGCAACAGCGGCGGUAACAAGGUCAUCAACGACUACGUCGUGGUGCGGCAGAUCGGGCAUGGCUCGUACGCGAAGGUGAAGCUGGUACAGCACGUUCACACUCAGGAGCUCUUCGCGCUGAAGAUACUGCGGCGUCAGAAGAAAGCGGCGAUGUCCGGCAUCACCCUCGGCCGCAGCCGGGUCAAGUCUGCCAUGGCAGGCAUAAGCGAAGAUGACCUUCUGAGGGAGAUUGCCGUCAUGAAGUUCAUUGACCACCCCAACGUGGUGAAGCUGAAGGAGGUGAUUGAGGAUGUCGACUCGCAGAAGGUGUACAUCAUCAUGGAGUAUUGCGAGAAGGGUCCUGUGCACGUGCUCGGUGACCCGGCGCUGCCUCUCGAGCAGGUGCGCCAGUACGGCGCCGACAUCCUUCGUGGGCUGCUGCACCUGCACUCCGAGUUUCUCUACCACCGCGACAUCAAGCCGGCAAACUGCCUGGUCAACCGUGACAGCGUUGUCAAGAUCGCUGACUUCGGGACCUGCAACAGCCAAAUCCGCACAAAGCUGGCGGAAGGGACGCCGGCGUUUAGCUGUCCAGAGCAGGUGCGUGGCGAGGAGGUGUCCGGUGAAGUGGUCGACAGCUGGGCCUUUGCGCUCACAGUGUACGAGAUGGCGUGCGGUACGCUGCCGGUGUCGACCACGUCCUUCGUGCAGCAUCGAUCGCUGCUGAUGAGCAAGAGCCCCGUCCCCAUUCCGAAAAUCGGCGAUGAGCCUCUUUGCGACUUGCUGGUACAGAUGCUGGAGAAGGAUUUGAGCAAGCGACUGCUGCUGCCUGCGGCGACGCGGCAUCCGUUCUUCGCGGAGUGCCACGUUGACGUGCAUGGCGCGGUACCUGGCACCGCCCCACGGUCCAUCUUCGCGGUGCUCGCCACCAGCGGUGGGAGCGCAGCAGCGCAGCCACAGCAGCAGCAGCUCCCAUCGCUUGCCGAGCUGUACGACAAGGCGCUAGAGUCGGUGCAUCGGGGCAAGAACCUUAAAGACUGCUUCCACGGUGUGCGCGCGUUGCGCCGCGUGCGCAGGAAGGAGGUGGAGACGGCGCGCCACAGCGGCACCGGCGACCAGGUUGGCGGUGGUAGUGCUGGAGCGGAGAAGAGCAGCGCAUACGUCAUGAACAGCCGCGACGUAUACGGUGGCAGCGACGGUAGCGGCAGCGACGGAGAGGACGAAGAGGGCGCUGGCCGCCUCUGGGUGGGCGGUCGCGCCGGUCACAAAGAGGAGGCGGCGGCGGCGGCGGCGGUGGAAGAAGCCGUAGAGCAUCAUCUCUUCACGCAGGAGCCCAAGUUGGAGUUGGCGCAGGUCACUCUCACCGCCCCCGCCACGCUGGAGAAGCUGAACAGGCUCCACCAGGUGACUGCCGAAAUGCGGCUGAGUCACAAUGCACUCGUGCGCCUUGCGCCGCUGCGCCUCUCCACCUUUUCGAUGCUGAUGGACAUUGCCGUCACCUUCAACCGGCUUGAAGCGAUUCCGCAAGAGGUCCUGGCGGCACCACGCCUCGUGCGGCUCGACCUCUCGCACAACCGCAUCGACUCCAUCCCCGGCUCGCUCGUUACGAAGGCGCUGUUCCUGGAGCGGCUGAGCUUGCACCACAACCUCAUAACCAGCGUGGGGACUACAACCAUCACUGUCGUAGAGCCGUCCCCUGUCAAAUUCAGAGUUCCGACGUCAGCCACAGCGACGUGCAUGGGGUCGAACAUGGUAGCGGUGCCUGAUGCUUCUGUUGUGUCGUCCUCGAUCACACAGACAAGCCUGCGUGGUCGCGGUGGCAGCAGCCGUAGCAAGGUGGUGUCUGUCCUAGCGGCGCCGUGCCUGCGGCACGUUCGGCUGAGCGGCAACCCCCUUGAACGCCUGCCCGAUGCUCUGGAGACAACGCAUAAGUUGCAGCUCGUACUCGACGCCAUACCCGCCCUCAUGGAGCAGUGGGACACGCACAUGCAAGCCGACAGCAAGCCAACGACAUCCACAGCGGCGGCAGCAACAGGGGGGCAGAGCCGCCUUCCUGCCGUGAUUGUGUGGGACGACAGCUUCCCCGUGCGCAUCCCCAGCGUAGAGCCGGCCGUGUGGCUAGCAGUCAACAACGUGGCCAUCUACCGCGUGCAGACGCUGCGUCUGUGCCAGACGCGUCGCGUGGUGCUGUGCCAGUGCGCUGACCCGCGGUUCCCCAACGGGCUCUUUCUUAGCGAAGAGUUGGAGGUGUAUUUCGCUGCCCUCUCCAAGGCACUGCAGGACUGCCGAGAGCAGCGACAGCAAUUAGCGGUCGAGGCACCCUUCUCGUUGGGCGCACCGGCGGAGGCGAUCCCGAGCGAGGCACUGCCGCCGAUCGUCGGCAAGGCGGCGCGCAACUACGUUGAGUCGUACUUCUUUGUCACAGACGACGAAAACGAAGAGGAGGGCGGCUAUCACAGCCUCGUGUCGUACCUGUACGACUCGCUCUCCGCCAAUAUCCCGGUACUGGUCGUCGUCGUCUCGAGCGGCACCUCGUGCGCCGUGCGCACGAACAUUGUCGCGGCCAUAAGCACCUGUCUCACACGCCUCCGCGGCGGCGACCCGGAGCAGCUGGACGCCGAGCAGGCGGAGCUCAUCGUCAGCACAAUGCGAAGCCUCUACGCGUGAUCAGGUCACAGACUGUAGCGAAGGACAGACUGAAGGAGAAUCGAAGAGAGGACGAAACACCGACGAAUUUGCAUGGCGUGUGCACAUGCGUGUCGAGGGAAGGGAAAUCAUAGGGUAUUGUCAUCGUUGCUCUCUCUCUCUUUCUACUUCUCCUCUUCUCGUCCCCACUCCCGCCCCUCCAAACUCUCUCGCUCGCUCGCCACUCGUGUUCGUGUGGAAACUAAAUUCGCCAGCACGUGUGGGCUGUUGGACUCUCUCAAAGGGGUCUAUGUAUUGCGGCCCUCGCUCUGUGUGCCCCCAUCCCGUUGCGCACACAAGCACGCACACAUAUAUACACAUAUGCAUGUGUAAAGGUAUAUCGGCAUUUUUUUUGUGCGUAACUCAUCUGCCUCUCGGUGUGCGUGCGCGUGUCUGCUUUUCGCUCGCAUCCCUUCAUUCUGGCUUUCCCUCCCUCCUCCUUUCCUUUCUUCUGGAGCUCUGCUUGCCGCAUGCAUUUGUGUCUGUGCCGGGGAGGUGCCCAUGAUUUCCGUGUGCUGUUGUCUUUGGUUUCAUUUUCUUUACAAUCAUUUGCUCCACCACCGCACACACUGCAUUCUCGCCCCCUUCCCCUCUGUGGGCAUGUGCGCUACGUCUCCCUCCCCCUCCCACUCCAUGUGGCUGAGGUCUUUUCAGGUCGUCUUCGGUUGUUUCGCUCGUUGAUUGGUUUUUCUUCGUCUUCUUUGAUGUGCGCAUGGGUAUACAGGCACAGCUGUCAUUGCGAGAGUGGAUGCAUGCAGCACUAUUUCUUUGUGUGU